rnacentral:tRNA from 1 species
ACAUCUAUAGCUAAGAGGUUGAAAGCAAUGGGCUCAUAAUCCAUUUUCAUAUAUUGAACAACAGUAGUUCGAAUCUACUUAGAUGUA